AUACGUAGGGUGCAAGCGUUAAUCGGAAUUACUGGGCGUAAAGCGUGCGCAGGCGGUUUUGUAAGACAGUGGUGAAAUCCCCGGGCUCAACCUGGGAACUGCCAUUGUGACUGCAAGGCUGGAGUGCGGCAGAGGGGGAUGGAAUUCCGCGUGUAGCAGUGGAAUGCGUAGAUAUGCGGAGGAAAACCGAUGGCGAAGGCAAUCCCCUGGGCCUGCACUGACGCUCAUGCACGAAAGCGUGGGGAGCAAACAGGAUUAGAUACCCUGGUAGUCCACGCCCUAAACGAUGUCAACUGGUUGUUGGGGAUUUAUUUUCUCAGUAACGAAGCUAACGCGUGAAGUUGACCGCCUGGGGAGUACGGCCGCAAGGUUAAAACUCAAAUGAAUUGACGGGG
rnacentral:rRNA from 1 species